GCAAGCACAUUUACACACACUGGCGCACAGCUGUUUAAAGACACACGAUCCCCUUUUCUAGGUGCUAGAUUCUGGUUGUAAAUCGUCUGCUGUAAUCAACUGGUGAAGCCCAGAGAUGCAUGGGUUUUAGGGAAAAUCUGGAGGAGCCUGAAUGGUCCAGCAGGCACCUCUUUGGGAACAGGACCAAGAACCCUGGGAAAGGAUAGCAGGCUCCUUCUGUGUCAGGCAUAUGGAAUACACCUGCCCCCAAAAAGAAAGAGUUCUGGAGAAAAAUGAGUGCCUCAACGAUGGAAAUCGUUUAAGAUUUCAAUGGCAGACAUUCUAAGAAGUUGUUGCAGUUCGAAGGACAGUGUCUGAAAAGAAGGCUCUGGAGUUGGAAACUCUGCCAAAGCCUGAACUCAGAUAAGAACUGGGUUGAGUCAGAAACACACUGGGGAUACGAUUUUCCUACACAGCAAGGCAGCUUGGAGCAACCAGAGCCUUACUUCAUCUUCACUCAUGGCUUGCUCACUGUGUGAGGCAUGCCUGCAAGCCAUGACUGCUGACCAGAACGCCUCUGAAGCCACAACAACUCACCAGGGCCCAAUCUCACUGAUACUCUGCUGCUGUUUUGUUCAAUAAGCACCCCAAAAUGCGCUGGGGGCUCUGAAGCUUCUAAACCAUUCUAUCAGGCCAGCCAACCCUGAAGAA
rnacentral:lncRNA from 1 species